rnacentral:rRNA from 1 species
GCUGGCGGCAGGCCUAACACAUGCAAGUCGAGCGGUAGCACAGAGAAGCUUGCUUCUUGGGUGACGAGCGGCGGACGGGUGAGUAACGCGUAGGAAUCUACCUAAUGGUGGGGGAUAGCCCAGGGAAACUUGGAUUAAUACCGCAUAAGUCCUAAGGGAGAAAGCGGGGGAUCUUCGGACCUCGUGCCAUUAGAUGAGCCUGCGUAAGAUUAGCUAGUUGGUGAGGUAAGAGCUCACCAAGGCGACGAUCUUUAGCUGGUCUGAGAGGAUGAUCAGCCACACUGGGACUGAGACACGGCCCAGACUCCUACGGGAGGCAGCAGUGGGGAAUAUUGGACAAUGGGGGCAAUCCUGAUCCAGCCAUGCCGCGUGUGUGAAGAAGGCCUUCGGGUUGUAAAGCACUUUCAGAUGUGAGGAAAGGUUACAGAUUAAUACUCUGUAGCUGUGACGUUAACAUCAGAAGAAGGACCGGCUAACUCCGUGCCAGCAGCCGCGGUAAUACGGAGGGUCCGAGCGUUAAUCGGAAUUACUGGGCGUAAAGCGCGCGUA